GACGUAGGGCGCGAGCGUUGUCCGGAAUUAUUGGGCGUAAAGAGCUCGUAGGCGGCUUGUCGCGUCGACUGUGAAAACCUGCAGCUCAACUGUGGGCUUGCAGUCGAUACGGGCAGGCUAGAGUUCGGUAGGGGAGACUGGAAUUCCUGGUGUAGCGGUGAAAAUGCGCAGAUAUCAGGAGGAACACCGGUGGCGAAGGCGGGUCUCUGGGCCGAUACUGACGCUGAGGAGCGAAAGCGUGGGGGAGCGAACAGGA
rnacentral:rRNA from 1 species